CUGUCAUUCACAGCAGCGGCACAUACACUAAAAUUAGAACAACUUAACAAAGAUUAGCUUGGCCCUCGAUCAAGGAUGACAUAUAUAUUCUUGACACAUCUCAUAUUUUU